GACGAACGCUGGCGGCGUGCUUAACACAUGCAAGUCGAACGAAGUAGCGAACGGGUGAGUAACGCGUAAUCAACCUGCCCUUCAGAGGGGGACAACAGUUGAAAACGACUGCUCAUACCGCAUACUGAAGGAGGGGAUUGCGUCUGAUUAGCUAGUUGGAGGGGUAACGGCCCACCAAGGCGAUGAUCAGUAGGCGGUCUGAGGAGGUUGACGGCCACAUUGGGACUGAAACACGGCCCGGCUCCUACCGGAGGGAGCAGGGGGGAAAUCUCCGCAAUUGGCGAAAAGCUGACGGAGGAACGGCGGGGGAGUGAUGGCGGGCUUCGGGGUGGAAAGGUAUUUUAAGCGGGACGCGGUACCGGAAGAGAAAGCCACGGCUAACUACGUGCCAGCAGCCGCGGUAAUUC
rnacentral:rRNA from 1 species